rnacentral:rRNA from 1 species
GACGAACGCUGGCGGCGUGCUUAACACAUGCAAGUCGAACGGAAAGGCCCUGCUUUUGUGGGGUGCUCGAGUGGCGAACGGGUGAGUAACACGUGAGUAACCUGCCCUUGACUUUGGGAUAACUUCAGGAAACUGGGGCUAAUACCGGGUAGGAGCUCCUGCUGCAUGGUGGGGGUUGGAAAGUUUCGGCGGUUGGGGAUGGACUCGCGGCUUAUCAGCUUGUUGGUGGGGUAGUGGCUUACCAAGGCUUUGACGGGUAGCCGGCCUGAGAGGGUGACCGGCCACAUUGGGACUGAGAUGCGGCCCAGACUCCUACGGGAGGCAGCAGUGGGGAAUAUUGCACAAUGGGCGGAAGCCUGAUGCAGCAACGCCGCGUGCGGGAUGACGGCCUUCGGGUUGUAACCCGCUUUCGCCUGUGACGAAGCGUGAGUGACGGUAAUGGGUAAAGAAGCACCGGCUAACUACGUG